AGCAGCCGCGGUAAUUCCAGCUCCAAUAGCGUAUAUUAAAGUUAUUGCAGUUAAAAAGCUCGUAGUUGAAUUUCGGGAUUAGUGCGCCGGUCGUGCCUUCGGUAUGUACUGGUGUUACUGGUUCCUACCUUCUGACGAACCGUCAUGUCAUUAAUUUGGUGUUGCGGGGAAACUGGACUGUUACUUUGAAAAAAUUAGAGUGUUUAAAGCAGGCUAACGCUUGAAUACAUUAGCAUGGAAUAAUGAAAUAGGACGUUCGAUCUUAUUUUGUUGGUUUCUAGGAUUGACGUAAUGAUUAAUAGGGAUAGUUGGGGGCAUUAGUAUUCAAUUGUCAGAGGUGAAAUUCUUGGAUUUAU
rnacentral:rRNA from 1 species